AGCAUUUUCCAUACAAAUCAAUAAAGACACAAAUGUAACGCCAUCUAUUGAUAAAAAAGUGCGUGAGCGAUUUUUUUUGACUAUCGCGCUUUUAGCGUGCACUGUGAAAUAAAACGUCAAAAACCAAAACAAACAUUUUGCUCUUCUGCUGGAAGUUUUCAAAACAUUUUUCAUUCGCUGCAGUGAAGUCGUUUCGUUACUGUUUUCAGCAGAUUAUCCGUAUAAAGGUUCUCACUCGUUGUUUGCCCGUAUACGAUCUGUUGCAGUAGGCAGCCGCGCUAGGAGCCUUUUCUGAUUGCGACAGCGAUUGCAAGGACGUGGUGCAAGCAGGUAGUUGCUACGCCCAAGAUACCACCGCCCGGAACCCAAAAGGACAUUUGGCUGGAAAAUGAUUGCUGCGUUGGAACCAGCGCGCCAUACGACCAAAACAGUUCUUUGUGCAUUGGAUUGUCGGGGAAACGAAAAAUCAGCAAGAACUUUGCAACCCGGUGAGUUUUUGAAAGUUGACCAGCAAUGAAGUAGGCCGCAAUUUCGUUUCAUAAUCCGGUGCAUUGCUAUCGCUGUAGGGCCUUCCCCGAUUUACCCACGUUUAUAAUUAUAUAAUCUGAAGGACAAUAAUUUAAGCAAUGUGCGAGGGUGCAUCGAGGAAAACCCUACAUUGACAAACGUCCUUAUUUACAAUGGAUCAUUCAUAAAUGACAUAUCAUUUCAAGAUAAGGUACACCGAGGCAAGAUGAAACGCGAAAUUUUGAGAUAGAUUUCAAUACAAUUUGGAAAUUUAUCCUUCCCUAAAAGAUUGUUUGAAUCAAAAACUAUGUGUUAUGGCAAUUAAAUUGUUUAUCAUCAUAUGAAAACAAUAUGUUAUCCCGCUGUUUCAUCUUGCCCCUCCCGUUUCAACUUGCCCCGGAAUACCUGAUUUUGCUAUGAAUCAUUUAUUGUCAAAAAUCAAACAAAAAGUGCUCAUUUAUGAAUGCUGCCCUAAAAAACAGUAGCGAUCUCUAUUUCUUGUCACCUUUCGAAAACUCACAAGGGUUGUAAACGUUUUUGCUGAUCUGUAAUGCAAAUGUGAAAAUAUCGAUACACGAUUUGAUGCAAUUCGUCCAAUUAGUGACGAUCGAUAACAAAGUACAUAGGAUGCAGAACUAUUUUUGCAGUGGGUUCUGUUUUAAGCAUUUUCCGCCAAAUUUCAACCGAUCUCAUAUCAAUAGAUUUUUUAGUUGACGUUGAGUUACGUUUCAAAUUGAUUUAAGUAUAGCGCAAAAUGCUCAAAAUAGGAUUCCCUGCCCAAAUAGUACAAUUCCCUAUUUCGAAGGGUUUCGACCUAAUGAUGAAGAAAGUAUUGAUGUUAUAUAAUAUUAUGUUAGUGCUUUUGGAAGAGGUAUAAUAAGAAGUGGAUGAAAUAGAGAAUAAAAUUUGACUACAUU